UUAAAAAGCUAUGUGUCCUAGAAGAGAAAGAAACCUGCCAAGAGUGUGUGUUCUAAAUGAGAUUUUCAAAUGAAGUUGGCUGUAGUGUUUACGAUAGGGGAUAUUAGGUUUACUUGUGGCAUACUCAUUGCCCGGGCUACUGCCUGUCACUCUCAUUAGUGAUAAAACCAUGUUGAUUGAUAUCAUCACAGGAUAGUGAUUUAAGGAUUUCUUGCAUCUUUUUAAGGUGAUUUUGGUGAGCAAGUAAUCCUCUAUAUGACACGGCCAGGAGCACACAGAACGAGAGUUCUUCAUUGCAUUUCCCAGGCUUCCAAAACGUCUGCAGACAUUUUGGGCAAAUUAUAUUCUAACUUGUUCUAUCAACUGUUAUCCAGCUUGGUAUCUCCCUAAGACCUAGUGUGCAACAAAAUAUAGUAAAUACAACUUCAAUUGUGAUGUUAUGUCUUGCUACUGAUCAGAUUAUCGGACUGUACUAUUUUUGGACCCAAACGAAUCAACCACAUCCUUUGAAAUGCACCAUAAGAGAAUUCACUGUCACUAAUGAAAGAAAAUAGUGGUUAAGAGUACUAAGCCAGACUGCUGGUUUGAUUCUCAGUUCUGCCACUCACAAGGAUGUCUUAAAUUUGGACCAUCUUGGACUGAUCUUACAUAUUUCUUAUUUUUUCCCCUCAGAUUUUCCAUUUCUUUGGGGUGUUUGUUGUUGUUGUUCUGUAUUCUGGGAGAUUUUUUCAUCUAUUUAUUUCACCCAAUGUAUUACAUUCUUCAUUUAUGCAUUUAUAUCUUUAAUUUUCACAACCUACUUCUUGUUUUUUGCUUCUUUUUGUUAGUACUUUGAAUGGAUGGAUAUGAUAUCUAUCCAUAUCUUUGUGGCUCUUAAUUAGAUUUGUUUUAUGGCCUUCAUUUUCUCCUAAAUUAUCUCAGUUCCUCCCAGAAUGUGAUGAAGAAAAGUCACUUAUAGAUGCCUGAAAUCUUUGAGCACUCUCUCCAUAUUUUGAUACCUUUUCAUAAUAUUAAUUUCAUCUUCUCAUCAUAGACAUGACAAAUAUUACAUUUUCCAUCUCCUUGUAACUAGAAUAUAGACUUUGGUUCAGCCAACCAGCAUAUGCUCUUUUGAGAGCUUUGAUUCUAAAGUUAGUUGCAAGAAGAACCUGCUAGGACACCUGGCGCCUAUUUUGCUGGCACUGGGGGAAGGCAGAGGUGCAACAUUUUUGGAGUCCAUAGCAGCAGGGGCCACAGCAGAUCUCUUCUCAGACCAGUUCUGGAGUAUGGUUCAGGGAGAUGUUCCUGGAGACUCAGCCUGAGAUGACUACUCC